GACUAGUCUGAAGGUUGUGAGCUAUAUCAAUUGACUGUUCAGUUACAGAUUGAACUCCUUGUUCUACUCUUUCUUCCUUCUUACAACUGCGCUUGACUAGUCUUUA
ensembl:misc_RNA Y_RNA Y RNA